UUAGGUCUCGUUGCUGAAGUUCUCUUGAUAUUUUCCUGUGCUACUUUUUCCCUACUUUGUUAGAAUUUGUAACUUACAAGUUCAUCGAGUCGAGUCCUACUUCCCCGUUUUUGCGUCGACAUAUUACUGUAAAAACUUCCAGAACCAUUAUGUGUUUUGGAUAGAGCCGAAAUGAUAAAAAAAUGUGGAUAAUGUUCGUUGAUAAAUUGCAAUGUGUUAGAUGCUGAUGGACUUUGUCAUACUAACUCAUACUCAUACCAAGAGAUAAAAGCAACAAUAACAAGUCUCCUGAAGUACCUAUGUUCCAGUCCGAGAGUUGGAAACAAUGUGUCUGUAUAAGUUGUGGAAUAUCUUUGGGAAGGCAUACAAGAAGACAAAUUCACAGGCCAUAGACUUAUGGAAAGAAAUGAAGAGUGACAUUAUAUAUAAAAACAAAAAUAUCUUCGAGACAGAUGCCUGAUGGAUGCUCAUGUAUGCGUUGUUUGCAGGAUGAGCUCACCUCAAAAUCAUUAAUUAAUAUCUAGUGAAUAUAAGAACUGUGUUAAGUGUGCCGUUGCAUUGUAUGUAGUUAGUAGCUAUUUAUGGUCAUAGAUGUUGUUAAACUAUGAGCUUAAAUCACUUUAUAAUAUAUUAUCAUAUCAUUAAAUGAUUAAAAAGCUAGUUAGGAACAUACCCCAUAUAUUUUAAAUAAUGUUAUUGUCAAGUUUAUUCUAUACUUUCUUACUAAUAAUUACCAUAUUAAGUCCCCUGACUUGAUUUAUGUAAUGACUAUGUACUAUUAUUUGAGAGUUGUGAGGGCCGGAUUGAAUACAGCCUGCGAGAUCACUGCGACCUUGUCAGAUCUAUUGUGACCUAAAUCCCUAUAUUUAAAAAAAAUACCUCUAGACCAUGACUAUGUACUAACAUCAGUAAGUAGCAACUGGGACCAGCAGCUUCACAUGCCCCCACCGGGACUUGAACCUGGGACAUCCAGAUGUGAGCCCAACAGUCAGAGCCACUGGACCACGGAGGCCGAGAGUACUUGGUUAAGUUGCUGUUGUAAUUUAA